rnacentral:lncRNA from 1 species
AGGAAACAUAUUGUUCAAAAACCCAUAUAACCUUUGCAUACAAAACUUCCUAACAUUAAAAGUAAACAGAUCAUACUGAGGAGAACAAUGUCUAAUGAUACUGAAAAUGGAUAGACUAUAGUUUCAACAUAAAUAAAAGUGUAAUUGGAGUCUUGUAAAGAACUUAUAUUUGAUAUCCCUACUCAUUGUAAAACAUAAAGCACUUUAUAUAAGCACAUAGUCAUCAUAACCAUAUAUUGAAAGACUUGAAGCAUUCCAUUUAGCUUAUCCUUUGGUAAAUCUUGCAACUCGAAGCAUAGUGUCAAGGUAAUCAAAGUUGCAUGAGCCAGAGUAGUGUAGGAAUGCAAUUGCCAAUUGGGAUCAGCAAUGCCUAUCCAACAAAAAGUUUACAUUGAAGGAUAACUAAUGGCUGUUGACUAUGAUAAGUUGCAAAUUAUGUGCUUUCAGGUCUGUCUAACAGAUACCAUCUUGACAUCAAUGCUUCACACUAUGAUCGAAUCAGUGACUUGUUGAUUAACAGAUGAAGCAUGAAGCAGAAAAUAUGCACUUCAAAUCAAGUAUCCACAACUAAAAACAUCUAAGUUGGCAUAUAUCAGUAAGGUCACAGAAUUGAUCCGCUCUUGGUCUCUAUGCAACUUAAGAACAAAAAUUAGCAUACAGAAAAAGAAACAAGGAAGAAAGAAUAAAUCAGACAAGUACAUCUGGCAAUGGUUGUGCGAACCAAGGCACGAGCCAGGAGUGCCCUCUUCUGAAGCUGGUCUCCAGGCAUGGAUAGAACAUUUUUUUUCUCAAC